rnacentral:lncRNA from 1 species
AGGGUGGUAACACGUUUUUUUUUCCUUUAUUUAUUUGUUUUAGUUUAUAUAAUUGAUGAAUAAUACACACAACACAAAACUUGUGAUCAUUUCCUAUUAUUUUCAAUGAAAUUAUUUGAAAAUUGUUGUUUUUAAAAAAAAUAAUCUAACUUUUACAUUGCUAAUGAUAAAUAAGAGCUUGAUUGUGAAAGAAAUUAGAUACCAAAUGUAGAUGCUUAUGACCAAUGAAAAUUUAAAAUUUCUAAAGGAAAGAUAACGACUAAAUAUUAAAUUCUAGCUCACAUAUCUUUCAACUUUUAGAUACCUAAACAAUUAAGGUUUGAG